GAUGAACGCUGGCGGCGUGCUUAACACAUGCAAGUCGAACGGAAAGGCCCAAGCUUGCUUGGGUACUCGAGUGGCGAACAGGUGAGUAACACGUGGGUGAUCUGCCCUGCACUUCGGGAUAAGCCUGGGAAACUGGGUCUAAUACCGGAUAGGACCACAUUUUGGAUGGUGUGGUGGAAAGUUUUUCGGUGUGGGAUGAGCUCGCGGCCUAUCAGCUUGUUGGUGGGGUAAUGGCCUACCAAGGCGUCGACGGGUAGCCGGCCUGAGAGGGUGUACGGCCACAUUGGGACUGAGAUACGGCCCAGACUCCUACGGGAGGCAGCAGUGGGGAAUAUUGCACAAUGGGCGCAAGCCUGAUGCAGCGACGCCGCGUGGGGGAUGACGGCCUUCGGGUUGUAAACUCCUUUCGCUAGGGACGAAGCGUUAUGUGACGGUACCUGGAGAAGAAGCACCGGCUAACUACGUG
rnacentral:rRNA from 1 species